UUAUCUUAGUGGCGGACGGGUGAGUAACGCGUGGGUAACCUGCCUUAUACAGGGGGAUAACACUUAGAAAUAGGUGCUAAUACCGCAUAAGCGCACGGGGCUGCAUGGCCCAGUGUGAAAAACUCCGGUGGUAUAAGAUGGACCCGCGUCUGAUUAGCUUGUUGGCGGGGUAACGGCCCACCAAGGCGACGAUCAGUAGCCGGCCUGAGAGGGUGGACGGCCACAUUGGGACUGAGACACGGCCCAAACUCCUACGGAAGGCAGCAG
rnacentral:rRNA from 1 species